rnacentral:piRNA from 1 species
UGUAUAUGCAAAGGAACUGGCUCAGAACC